rnacentral:rRNA from 1 species
GGAUAACUACUGGAAACGGUGGCUAAUACCGCAUGACGUCUACGGACCAAAGCAGGGGCUCUUCGGACCUUGCGCUAUCGGAUGAACCCAUAUGGGAUUAGCUAGUAGGUGAGGUAAAGGCUCACCUAGGCGACCAUCUCUAGCUGGUCUGAGAGGAUGAUCAGCCACACUGGGACUGAGACACGGCCCAGACUCCUACGGGAGGCAGCAGUGGGGAAUAUUGCACAAUGGGCGCAAGCCUGAUGCAGCCAUGCCGGGUGUAUGAAGAAGGCCUUAGGGUUGUAAAGUACUUUCAGCGGGGAGGAAGGUGAUAAAGUUAAUCCUUUAUCAAUUGACGUUACCCGCAGAGGAAGCACCGGCUAACUCCGUGCCUCAUCGCGGUAAUACGGAGGGUGCAAGCGUUAAUCGGAAUUACUGGGCGUAAAGCGCACGCAGGCGGU